rnacentral:rRNA from 1 species
GAGUUUGAUCAUGGCUCAGAACGAACGCUGGCGGCAUGCCUAACACAUGCAAGUCGAACGAAGGCUUCGGCCUUAGUGGCGCACGGGUGAGUAUCGCGUGGGAACCUGCCCUUUGGUACGGAAUAACUGCGGGAAACUGCAGCUAAUACCGUAUACGUCCUCCGGGAGAAAGAUUUAUCGCCGAAGGAGGGGCCCGCGUCCGAUUAGGUAGUUGGUGGGGUAACGGCCUACCAAGCCUGUGAUCGGUAGCUGGUCUGAGAGGAUGAUCAGCCACACUGGGACUGAGACACGGCCCAGACUCCUACGGGAGGCAGCAGUGGGGAAUAUUGGACAAUGGGCGAAAGCCUGAUCCAGCAAUGCCGCGUGAGUGAUGAAGGCCUUAGGGUUGUAAAGCUCUUUUACCCGGGAUGAUAAUGACAGUACCGGGAGAAUAAGCCCCGGCUAACUCCGUGCCAGCCGCCGCAGU